rnacentral:lncRNA from 1 species
GUAUAACAAAUUGAUAUAUUAAUCGAUACAUUCCAUGUAAAAUAUCCACCGAUAGAUUCCAAUAUAUCAUGAUAUAUCUAUUUUUUGGAGAUCGAUACAUUAGUCGAUAACGAUAUUUUGUACUAUGGGUCUGAGUAUGGAGUAAGUUCUUUCUCACUAAUGAUUAUUAAAAAAAAUAAUGUUCUAACCCAAUCUUUAAAUACCAUAUUAACAUCUGUCUGCUUCCUUAAUUUUUUUUGGUUCUGACAAUUAUAAAAACGUGUUCUACCGGCCCUGUGAGAACUUAAUCUUUAAGUACCAUAUCAACAUCUGUCUGCUUCCAUAAUCUUUUUGGUUCUUUGCAAUUUUUGGUGGUAAGAUUAAUUUAAUCAAAAAAUUUAAAUCACUUUAUCUGAAAACUUUAAAAAAACAAAAAUUAUACAAAAUUUGAGAAAGGUGAAAGUUAAAAAAAUUUAAAUCACUUUAUCUGAAAACUUUAAAAAAACAAAAAUUAUACAAAAUUUGAGAAAGGUGAAAGUUAAAAACACAGGAGUACUUGAGAGAAAUGUUCCAAAACUUAUAAAGCACGGCUGCAAAAUUUAUAAAAGUAUUAAAAAGAUUUGUGGGGAAAUUAUAGGUGCUUGGGAAAAGAUUGAUAGAAAUAAUUUACACCUCUCCAGCCUCUCGUGGCCAAGUUCUUGAUGUUAUCAUCAAAAUUAUUACCUAGAUUCGGUGAAACUAUGUUAAGGGGAAAUAACUUGGAAGUGGUCGAGUGGAUUAAUUAAAACAAAUAUGUAGGCAUCAUAUUUUUUUAGUUUAUAGUUUAAUUAAAAAGCAAACUAAUAUUUUCUUUUCAGUGAAGGCAGUUGAUUAACAAAGCGAACAAGAAAAAGUGAAUAAUUACAUUCACCAACUAAAAACACUGUCACACUAGAUCUAUGUAUUACAACUAAAAAAAUACAAGUUAAACCCAAAUUCAAUACACAUAACACCAGAACUUAAUAGAAAAAUAAAAUUCUCAAUUUGCUCUCAGUUGAAGGGCACAAUUUUUCCACAUUAGAUCUUCAGAAGAAAGAAAUACCCUUUCAAACACAUUAAAAAGCUUUCCUUUAUGCUUAAUUUAGCUUUCUUCUCUUCUUUAAUUAAAUGGAAAAUUAAAAAAAAAAAAAAACAAACUUCCAUUUCCUUAAAAAAGAGGAAUCACAAAACUACAUCAAGCAUAAUAGAAACAUUAAUUAAUAUAUAAUAAAAGGGCAGUUAUCUUUCCUCUUCAAAUCUUCUUCAGUGUGGUUAAAGCAAUCAAUCGUCAUUGAGCACAAAAAAUAUAAACAGAUCAGAUUAAAGUAAAUAAAAAACAGGGUGUAGAACCUACGAGAAAAAGCGAGAAACAAUAAAAAUAAUUAAGGGUUUCCGCAUGUCCAGAAGUUCUUCUAUUAUGACUAAUUUUGCAACUCUUUUGUUCAAAUUUCUGCUAUAUUUAGCAGAAAUUUAUCAAUAAUACAAGGAAGAGUGCAUAACAGAAGAAAAAAGGAAGAUAAAUCGCUAUAUAAGAACAAAAACUAGAAAAAAAAAUAAAAAAUUGAAGAGACAAUCAGAGUAGCAGGUGAAGAAAAACAGUUUUCUUCAAAGGACUUGCCUUUAAUGCGCAGCAAACCAAUGUUGCUGCGGUUUAAAGGCAGUCUUUUGAAGAUAAAACCCCUAAAAUGCAGAUAGAGUGAUGGGAUGUGCUGAAUUUAUACUCGAAAUUAGGGUUUUGAGAAAG